rnacentral:rRNA from 1 species
GAUGAACGCUGGCGGCGUGCCUAAUACAUGCAAGUCGAGCGAACAGACGAGUAGCUUGCUCCUCUGACGUUAGCGGCGGACGGGUGAGUAACACGUGGAUAACCUACCUAUAAGACUGGGAUAACUUCGAGAAACCGGAGCUAAUACCAUAUAAUAUAUUGAACCGCAUGGUUCAAUAUUGAAAGACGGUUUUUCUGGCACUUAUAUAUGGAUCCGCGCCUCAUUAGCGAGUUGGUAAGGUAACGGCUUACCAAGGCAACGAUGCUUAGCCGAACUGCGAGGGUGAUCGGCCACACUGGAACUGAGACAGGGUCCAGACUCCUACGGGGGGCAGCAGUAGGGAAUCUUCCGAAAUGGGCGAAAGCCUGACGGAGCAACGCCGCGUGAGUGAUGAAGGUCUUCGCAUCGUAAAACUCUGUUAUUAGGGAAGAACAAAUGUGUAAGUCACUAUGCACGUAUUGACGGUACCUAAUCAGAAAGCCACGGCUAACUACGUG